CUGCGAGAUGUUUGAGAUGCCACUGCGAGAUGUUUGAGAUGCGCAGUGGCAUCUCAAACAUCUCGCAUUGGCAUCUCAAACAUCUCGCAGUGGCAUCUCAAACAUCUCGUAG
rnacentral:pre_miRNA from 1 species